UAUCCCCCAAACUAAGGGGGGAUGAGAACCACUGACCGGGGUUCGACAACUGGCGCAGCCAGUUGGACAGACGACGAGCCUGCGAACGGGCUGCCCCGAAGGGCGAGCGCAGCGAGUCAAUCCCCCCCUCACCGCCA
rnacentral:sRNA from 1 species